CAUUGUUUCUCUUUGUUAGCUGAAUGAGCAAAUGAAAGUAAAAUCAGAUGCAAUAAUGGAGGUCGAAAAGAAACAUUCAAAGGGGGGAGUUUUUCAUUUGUUUGAUUGGAAUGGUAAAUCUCGAAAGAAAUUGUUCUUGAACACUGCCGAAAUCUCAGGAGAAUCAAAGAGAGGAAAACCUGUGGAAAAUCUACUGAAGUCGCCGCCUUUUAUGGUGG